AUUUUGAGUUGGACGCCCUUCUUUGUGUUUCUUGAGCGCCACCUGUUGGUCAUAGAGAUAUUACCGAAACUCGGGGUGGAACGGUGAUCCCAGUUGGGAGUUCUGGUCUCUGUGUUGCUGCUGAAGUCUGACUGUGUUUGACGUAAACACCCAAAGAAAAGGGAAACAUUUCAGCUCACGGAGAGGAAGAAGAGGGGACCCUCAAACUAAACUUUGAGGUUUCUAGCCUGUAAGGCUAAAUUUCCCUGCGUCUUGCCGCUCCCCUCAUUGUGUGUGAUUAAAGCUGUUGGUAUGACACCCUCUGCCCUCCAGCUUUGUCUGCUGUACCCCCUGCCUUCAGACUCCCUUUUUUGGUUGGUUAUUUUUGUUUGUUUGUUUUCUGAGACGGUCUUGCUCUUUCACUUAGGCUGGAGUGCAUUGGUGCCAUCAUGGCUCACUGCAACCUCAAACACCUGGGCUCAAGCGACCUUCCUGCCUCAGUCUCCCCAGUAGCUAGGACUACAGACGCAUGCCACCAUGCCCUGUUCACACAUUGAGGGCUUUUCACUGCCUCGAUCAGGCUGAGUUCUGCUCACUGGGGCCACCACAGGCCAGGCAGAAGGAACUGUGUGGGCUUUGUCGAGCUGGCUUUCCCUAUCCACUAGGCCUUUGCUUAAACGCCACUUCCUCCAGAAAGCCUCCCCUCACUGCUCUGGUCAGGUUGGCUAUCCACCUUGUGCCCACAGCCAUCUGCCCUUCAGGACGCUGAGCACAGAGGCAUGACGUGUGCUCCCACCCAAGGCGUGCUGCAUGAGGGGAACCUCCCCGCCUCAGCUGUCCCCCACCCUCAGCCGUCCCCCGCCCCACCGUCCCCCUCCUCAGCCGUCCCCCCACCCUCAGCCGUCCCCCUCCUCAGCCGUCCCCCGUCCUCAGCCGUCCCCCACCUCAGCCGCCCCC
rnacentral:lncRNA from 1 species